ensembl:lncRNA
CCACACCUCUGCUCCCCAGAACUUAGAAUGUUUCUCCAGUCAAGUUUGAAGACUACAGGCCCAGCAAAGGGAGACAAUGAGUUUUAACAUUUUCUGAGAAGCAACAGAGUGGAGUGUGAUUCACAGCACGGCCUCUGAGCUGGCCCGCCUGGUUCAAAGCCUAGCUCUGUCACUUAUAGCCAUAAGUGAUUUCAAGCACGGAGAGAAUUUCACAGCUCAUUGACUGCUCUGACUCCUAAUCUACACCGGAGGAAACAAUGUUGCAGCUCAUCAAAUGCAAUCAGCUGCUAAUUGAAAGGAAAUGGAAUUUUACAAUUACAGGCCACCUUUCAGUGCUCAGGAUUUCUAAGCCUUCUCCCCACCCUCCUUGGCCAGCUCAGCACUGGCAGGAGCACUUGACAACCUGCUGGAGACUUCCCUGAGAACUGCAUUUAGGAUCUGGCCCAGAGCCGCAAAAAGGGAAGCAGCAUCCUUGCCAGUUCCUAGACUGUCCUUCAAGGCUCAGUGCAAAGGGAAGAGGCUGGGGUUGGGCAUCCACAGACCUAAGUGAGUGUGCUGGCUCACCUUCCCGCCGCCCCUUUGACUUGAACAAGGUAUGCCCUUGUUCUUCCCCGAGCCCCACUUUCCUUCUCUCCAAAAUCAAGAUUUAAUGAUUUCCAAGGUUCUCAUUGGGCUUCCUUGGUGGCUCAAUGGUAAAGAAUCUGCCUGCAAUGCUGGAGAAAUGGGUUCAAUUACUGGGUUGGAAAGAUUCGCUGGAGAAGGAAAUAGCAAUCCGCACCAGUAUUCUUGCCUGGAAAAUCGCAUGGACAGAGGAGUCUGGAAGGCUACAGUCCAUGGGGUUGCAAAAGAGUCAGACAUGACUGAGCAACUAAACAACAAAACAACAGAGCUUAUUAGCUCCGAGGAUUCUGUUCACCCUAUUCCUGCUACUAUUCCCAUCCAGUGGACAACAUCUAAGUGGACAUACUCUUGCUGGCCCAGAUAUCUGCUUUUGCAAAUGCUACCAGGGAAAACACUUUCACAACUAGGAGGAGGCAGAAAAUGCUUUCCAAGCGUUCCUCAAAUCCUGACUUUUAUGCUGCAGGAAUUAACAAACAUUAUCAGUUCCCUGAGGGCAAAGUCUCUGGAAAAUGUUACUGCAUCUAAUCACGGCCUGGAUGCUGUGCAGGAGAACACUCUAAGAGGCCAGGCGUGCGGCCUGGAUUUGCCUAACCUUGGCUGGAACUUCAGAGCUCAGGGAUUCAGUUGCAGAUCAGCUCAGAGGUCUGUUUCUGAUUAGCUUGACAGCCAUCUUGAAUGCCUGCUAGUCAUUUAACCUGGCAGAGAGUAAAGGCCUCUCCCCCAAAUAGAGUGUAAAACCACAACCACAACCCACAAGACCUUGAGACGUGCAAAUCCAGCCAUUACCCAAUGGCAAGUAUGGGAGUGUGCCGGGAGGCGGUCUCUUCCAGAUCCUUAAGUCCAGAUUCACUUUGGAUCACAUUGCACUGACUCACGGAGGACACAGUGGGAGGACUGACCUUCCAGUGUCACCAACCUCAACAGUUGCAGGACCCUGAGGAUGAUUUUGUACCUGAAUGAGUCUGAAGUCUCAAAGGAUCAAGUCACUUGGGGAUUCAGUAAGGCAGAGGAGCUGUGGGAUUGCCUGAUGGUGAUGUCAUAGCCAUGCCAGCACCACCUUCUAAGCAGCCAUCUGCCUCUUUGAGUAGCCUCUACCCCACCUUGAUUUAUACAUGAUAUUUUAUAAUAGCCAAAGCGAUGCUCAAAGAAAUUUCCUCAGCCUCCUACCACCACCCUGGGCAUGUAAUAAUGCCACAGAAGUACACGACCUGUCAUGUCUUAUUACUUAAGUAUAGGUCUGAGAAGCUUCUCCAUGAGGCAGCAUAAUAUGAAUGCUACCCAGGAUUGGCCCCAUAGAACACAGAGACAGAACACUAUCAUCUC